CAUGAACUGAACGGCGUAAAGCCGUUCGUUGCCCAUCAGACGUCUGUUAAAAAAAAAACAGCUUUUUUGCUCACAAAACGCCCCACAAAUCCAGCUCUGGCGUCGGAGAACCCGAGACAAAUAGCAACGGAUCGAACUCAGCGAGAGCCGGAUCAGGUCCGAAAACCGCAGGCUGGACAAAGCCGUCCGGAUCAAGCGACGAUGAUUCGCCGAGGGUCGGGAGAGGAAAGUUCCCUGCCGCCUCCGGCGGAUACAGCGGGGACGCUGCUGCGGCCGUCGAGGUGGCGCCGGUGACUCGCUGGACCAAUUCGCGGAAGUGGGCCGGGUCCGCAGUGAAGUAAGCGACCGGCGAGCGCUUGGAGUUGGAGGCCUGCGACUUGCGCUUCUUCGGUAGGCGCUCGUCGGCAGGCGCAUCCCGGUGAGUCGGCCUCGGGUGGGAGGUGCCGACGACUGAGGAAGUGGAGCCAGAGAGGAGGGAGGGGGCGUCGCUGUCGCCCGAGAAGGCGUAGGGGCGGUGGUGCACCCACGGUUCUGGGAUCGCGCUGUUCUCCAUCUUCGAUCUCCGCUCGACGAUUAAGUUUUUUUUUCAGCGUUAUAGUUUCGCCACGUCACGUGCGGGGUGCCCUCCGCAGUGGCGUUGCCACUGGGUCGUCGAGGCGGCGUAGUCGACAGCUUGAGCGGAGCACGGAUCCUCUGCGCCCGCGUCCCCUGCGCCCUCUGCGUCCGUCGCUACACGACAAAAAAAAGCACGUGCUUAGCGCAUGUAUUUCUCGGCGCCAACAUCGCCCGAAAAGAAAUGCUCCGUCAGCGCAAAAAAAAUAAGCAAACCCUAAGCCCCUCUUCUCCUCUCCACUUCUUCUCCAGCCGACGACGCAAACAUGUUCCAUGGAGGGAGGCUGAUCGUUGGUUCGCCGAGAGGUAUGCCCUUGAAAGGCCACCUCGCUUCUAGCUCUACACAGAUUCUCUUUGUGUUUCCCUGUGCUCCUCUUCGCUUCUCCAGCCGACGCCAGCCCUCCUCCUCUGCGCCUACGACCGGAGGUAACACCUACAACCCUGUGGAGAAGAAUCAGGUGGAGGAUCCGUGCCCGUGGAGAAGAAUCACGUGCUUACUCUUGCCAACGAGGACCUCGCAAGCCCUAGCUCCCCGCCGAUUCCCUCUACGCCCAGCACCCGUGUGCCCUCUUCGCCCGUCGAAGUGUCUCCUCCUCUUCGCCCGCAGCUCCCCUGUGCGCCUACUCUCUCCUAGGAAUAUGGUAAUACUGAUGUUGAAGGCGUUGACUCAACAAAUGCAUGCUAUGGUGGAACAGCUGCCUUAUUUAAUUGUGUUAACUGGGUAGAAAGUAGCUAAUGGGAUGGACGCUACGGAUUGGAUGUCUAGAGCAAAAGCUUUUAGUAAUUGCUGUGGUUGUUGUUGCUGCUGCUGCUGCAAGUGUGCAGUUUGGGCAUCUAAUUUUACCAUAGGAACUACAAGUAUAGACCAUGUAAAUAUUUCAUAAUUGUGCCUUUGUUUAAUCCUGAAAGGAAAGUGUUGUGUGAUCCAA